rnacentral:piRNA from 1 species
ACAUGAUGGUAUCGUGGCCUAAUUCCC